CCUGAGAGCAAAACACGCUUCCCUUUGCUCUCUGUCUCUUCCACCGCUUCCCCUCGCUGUCUUCCUCUUCCUUCCACCUCUCCUUCCUCAAUUCCUCCGCAUAAAAAUUCUCCUUACCCAACCUCUCCCACUCCCAUUCUCACCUUCGAUCUCAACUAGUUGUGAAGCCGCUUUGAAACAGUUGAAUCCCCCAACAUCUCUCUCUACAAAAACGCAGAUCAAGUGACCAAGUUACGGAGUCGACUGAGAGCAACCGAUUGUGACGCCAUUGCCGACACCUUCGUCCUUGCUGGAUUGAUCGCUGACUUGUCUCUCCUCCUCCCUCACUCGAUAUGAGAUGAGAUUUAAUAUGAAAACUGGUCUGGCAUUACAGAAGAAACUAUGAGCAGAUGUUGUAGAUUUUCCAAGGGUGAAUGAGAGCUACACUGGAAGUGAAUGAAAUUGAUGCAAAGACGAUGUCAGCUGAUCCAGUUACAGUGUUUGAAUUACCACAUCGAGUUCCUUAUGGAUUCCAUGACUUUUUUUGAUACAGAGAUUGACACUUUAGUGAAGUAUCACGCAGAUCUACCUUUGGUCAUGGACUAUGAAGAUCAAAGUUGGAAUUUUGGCUAUGGAUUCUACGUGCUUGGAUGUUUAAUUUUACUUAUGGAGUAUACCGAGCUUGGAUUUUUUUGUUUUCCCUUGUGAUUGGAUGUGUGGUUAUUUUGCACCUAACAAAUUUGGAUACAAGUUGUUUAUUAGGUAUUUGGUUGACACCUCUAUUUAUGAAAGCUAUGAAUGGAUUUAUUUGUUAAAAUUUUC